GACGAACGCUGGCGGCGUGCUUAACACAUGCAAGUCGAACGAUGUGGCGCACGGGUGAGUAACGCGUAAUCCACCUGCCCUUCCGAGGGGGAUAACAGUUGGAAACGACUGCUAAUCCCGCAUACUGACGUAGGGGAUUGCGUUGGAUUAGCUAGUGGGAGGGGUAACGGCCCACCAAGGCGAUGAUCAGUAGCCGGUCGUGGAGGAUGGACGGCCACAAUGGGACGUAGACACGGCCCAGACUCCUACGGGAGGCAGCAGUGGGGAAUCUUCCGCAAUGGACGAAAGUCUGACGGAGCAACGCCGCGUGAGUGAGGACGGCCUUCGGGUUGGAAAGCUCUGUUAAUCGGGACGCGGUACCGGAAUAGAAAGCCACGGCUAACUACGUGCCAGCAGCCGCGGUAAUAC
rnacentral:rRNA from 1 species